CUGAUUGUUUUAAAUUGAAUAUCUGCCAAUACCGCGUCCCGAUCCGAUACCUGCUCAGAUAAGGAAGCUGCACACCGUUUAUUUUGUUUACUAAAAUAACUAAGUAAACAAAGUAACUAAAAUAUGUCUUAAGCUUAAUGCAUUUAACUUAGUGGAGAAUUGGAGUCUUUUCUGUCAA